CCUGAACGCUGGCGGCGUGGCUAAGACAUGCAAGUCGUACGGUGUAGCAAUACACAGUGGCGAACGGGUGAGUAAUGUAUCGCUAAUGUACCCCGGACUCUGAGAUAGCUGCCCGAAAGGGCAGGUAAUACCAGAUGAUAUGACCUUAUCGCAUGAUAAGGGUCUCAAAGGUCCGCCGGUCUGGGAGCAGGCGAUAUCGUAUCAGCUAGUUGGGAGGUAAUGGCUCACCAAGGCGACGACGCGUAGCCGGACUGAGAGGUUGGCCGGCCACAUUGGGACUGAGACACUGCCCAGACUCCUACGGGGGGCUGCAGUAACGAAUCUUCCGCAAUGCACGAAAGUGUGACGGAGCGACGCCGCGUGUAGGACGAAGCCCUUCGGGGUGUAAACUACUGUCAGGGUUAGAAAGUCUGAUCAACCCCAGAGGAAGGCACGGCUAACUCUGUGCCAGCCGCCGCGGUAAC
rnacentral:rRNA from 1 species